rnacentral:rRNA from 1 species
GAGUUUGAUCCUGGCUCAGGACGAACGCUGGCGGCGUGCUUAACACAUGCAAGUCGAGCGGAAAGGCCCUUCGGGGUACUCGAGCGGCGAACGGGUGAGUAACACGUGGGCAACCUGCCCCUAGCUCUGGGAUAACUCCGGGAAACCGGUGCUAAUACCGGAUACGACCUCAUUAGGCAUCCUUUGAGGUGGAAAGAUUUAUUGGCUAGGGAUGGGCCCGCGGCCUAUCAGCUUGUUGGUGGGGUAAUGGCCUACCAAGGCGACGACGGGUAGCCGGCCUGAGAGGGCGACCGGCCACACUGGGACUGAGACACGGCCCAGACUCCUACGGGAGGCAGCAGUGGGGAAUAUUGCGCAAUGGGCGAAAGCCUGACGCAGCGACGCCGCGUGAGGGAUGACGGCCUCGGUUGUAA